GCAAUAUCGACCAUUCUUGAAAAUUUUGACAAUACGUUAAAAAAUAUGGCAUUAAUAAACCAUUGUUGUUUUGCUUAUUUUUAUUUAUACAGGGAGUUGAACUUGUUACGAUUUUCAUAUAAAAUUGGUUAUAACUUUGUAAAUACCCUGUAUAACAUAACAAACCUUUAUAUUUUUGUGAUGGAGAAGUUAACAGGAUUUCGAAUUUAAAAUAAAAUAUAGGGUGUUCCAUUUAAAAAAACAUAAGUUUGGUCUGCCACUGUGUUAUCGAACACCCUGUAACAUUCUAACUAAUUUUGUAAUGUGAAGCUCAAAGGUGGCUAAAAUUUUUGUCAUUAACUUAUAUUGCUAUCUAUUACUAUAGCGGAGCUAUUGAGCUUUACCCUACUAAUCAAUCACCCUGUAUGCUUCAUUCCUGUUGUGUAUUGAAGUGUGGAAUGCGAAGUAAAUGUGAUAAAGUUCAGUUUUAUCGGUUAUCAUGAGUGCUACAUUUUAAGCAUAAAUCUGAAAUAAAUAAGUUAUCAUCUGAGAGACAAAAACAAUGGUUAAAUGCUAUAAAAUGUCGUAUAGAAAUGCUCAAUAACUAACUAUGUCCAGGUUGCUUACGCUUGGAAAAUUUUCUCCAUUGUAGGUUAAUUCAGACUCCUUGAGGGAAAAUGAAUCAGUAUUAUUUAUUUUGCCAAUCUUUUAUGUUUCACUCAUGUUUAUUUAUUCACUGCUUAAAACUAAAUAAAGGCGUUCAAGUACUUCUACAAUUAAAAACUACACAAAAUCAAUAACAAAAUGUUCGGAAAAUACAACUAAAAAACUACUAAAGGUAAAACACUUAAGAAACACAAUGUGUGGUACAAAUAUAAACAAAUACAAUGUUUGACAGUUUGACUCCCAACGGUGUGAUAAACGUCAAAGUCCUGGAAUGCCCUAUAGUAUCAAAAUUUCAUAAAUGUCAAUAGUGUCAAAAUUUCAUAAUUUAGUGGAGUAAAAUGGACCAAUUACAAACAAGCAUUCCCACGGUUAUUAGACUUUAUUACGGUUGUCUUGUCCGACGGUGGCGGGGAGACUUAUAUUUUUGAUUUUACGUCACAAGAGUUUACAUUCCCAUAUUUUUAAAUGAUUUUCGAUCAUUGAAUGUGUGCUAUUGUGUAUAUAUGUGUAUUAUUUGUGUUAUUAUGAAAUAAUUAGACGAAUAGUACACAUUUUAUCUUAUACCGGGUGGGGAAUCGUAAAAAGGGCCAUAGGAAACUCAAUGUAAAAUUCUGAAUUGUUGAAUUCAUGCUUCCCUAAUUAUUUUACAUCAAAAGUCAUGAGAGAAUACUUGUAGAGAAUUAAAAUCUGUAUUAAAAUCAAAAGUUAAAAUUGUUCUACGAUUUAAAUGUAUUCCAAAAUUUUGAAAAAUAUGAUACAUUUGCCACAAUAGGUAUGCGUGUAAAAGUAAGGCCACACGUUACUAUUUAACUGACAGUGCUCACACCAUUGACUGAAUAAAAAAAUCUUUAUUAUUAAUCCUUUCUCCGCAACUGAGGGUAUCUUAUCAACUGUAUUGUUUUUAAACAAUAGAUUAUAAAAUAAAAAUAUUGACAGUUCAAAAAUGUGCAUUGAAAAACAUUCUUGCAUUGUGUGUGGCCUAAGUUUGGGCUGAAAACUAAAAUGUAUUACAUUUUUACAAAAUUUUGGAAUAUGUUUAAUUACGUAGACCAAUUUUAACAGUUAUUUCCAAUACAGAUUUCAAUCCUCUACAAAUAGUUUCUAAUGUUUUUUGAUGUACAAUAAUUAUUAGGGAAGCUGGAAUUCAACAGUUCAGAAUUUUACAUUGAGUUAAUGCAAAAUUUUGACGCAUGUCAAAAUUCUCAAUGUGUUUUAAUUGUAUUCAUUUUUUUCGAAUCCUGAGAAAACUAAUAAAUAUUUUUGAAAAAUUUAAACUCAGAAUGAAAGACUAAAUUAUUAACGAGGGCUGAAAGUCCCUGAAAACUUCUAUAAUGUUUAUUUUAAUAAGUUACAGGGCUGAAAAUAAAAGAGAAGUGUGAUAUUUAAUUUCAAAUAUUUCAUUCAAUAGAAUCUGCUUGUUUAUUCUAAGGGGCUUUCCGCCCUCGGUAAUAAUGUAAUCUUGCAUCCUGCGUUUAAAUUUUUCUAAAAUACUUGGUUCUCUCAGGAUUCGAAAAAAAUCAUAUUACGAUUCAAAUGACAGUAAACUCUCGUGACGUAAUCUCACCCUUAAUGUUCAUUGGUUAGUCGAUUUAGGCAACCGUAGUAAUGUCUAAGAACCGUGAAGCAUUCCUAGUUUAAAAAGUGAUAUAGAUACCUAAUUCCGAACAUUUAGUUGCCACGAUAUUAUGCAAUAUUUUAAUUUAUUUUUGCACCAACACUGCGAUUCAAAGUGUAUAGAAAUCAAGUCAUUUCAAUAUCUGAUUAUUAAUGACAGAUUUUAAUAUAUUGGUAAUCUCGGUCUUCGGAAGAUUUUCUGAUUUGUUUUGAUCAGUUUGCCUUUUGUUUGUUGACUCCAAUCUUUUACAAUUUUAAGUAGCUACCUUUAAUCUAUCUGUUUUUUAGCUGGUCUAUCGACUUCAACUUUCGUAGAUCGUCAUGAUUUUGAUCGAUUUAAUUUGAAGCUUAUGGGCAUUUGCAAUGUCCCCCGUAGAUAUCAACAUUAUGCAUUUUAAUUUUUCUUGUAAUGUAUUAAGUGAUAUAUUGUUAUUGCUUUUAUUUACAUUUACAAAAUUUCCAAUAAAUUACAAUAUUUUAUUUUUAUCAAAUGUAAUUACGUAUUUCGAAAUGAAUAUACUUAUUUAUAUAUUAUUCCUAAUUACUCUUAGUCCAGGCUGUAUCGUCGGCCCCGUUAGGUAAAUUAUUCCGAUUCGAUUUUUUUACACAAACUUACUCAACAAGAGGUCCUUAUAAUAAAUUCACUGGGUGCCAGGCGGUACCGUGGUCAAAAAAUUGUUUAAACAAUUUUUUUAAACAAAUUCACAAAAAUAAUUUGUUCACUUUGGAAUUUUUUUUUAGAUUCUUUGGGUCAUUCUGAGCAAAAAAGGUCUCUUGUAAUUUUUCUCUAAAAUUAAUUGUUGUCGAGUUAUAUGCGAUUUAAAAUUUGAAAAACGCGAAAAUAACUAUUUUAAAGGUUUAAUAAUUCGGUUAAAAAUAAAUAUUAUGAAAGUCAGAAACUGACCAAAUCAAAGUUUAGCCCCCUUUACAAGGCCCUGAAGAAAUUUUUGUCAUUAUUUUAUUACUAAGAUGUUAUUUUUAAUAGGGAACUUGCAUAUAUUUUUAAAUAUUAAAAUAAUAUUAAAAAAUAUAAGGUAACAUGAUCAUAAAACGCAUGCAUGCAAAAAAACAAAUAUUGUUAACCCAUAGGCUUAUUACGAGACAUUGAAAAAGCUAUAAAAUUCAAAUUUCUUCAGAGGCGCGUUAACGGGUCUGACGUCACGACCCACGUCUACCUGCUAGAUUUCUAUGAGUCGACAACAAAACCGCUAGGAUAUUUCGAAAUUAUUUACAAAUUCAUUCACGUUUACUUAAAACUCUCAUGUAGAAGUUGAUUGUAAAUAAAAGUUCAAAAAAGGUUGUUUUGGGGAUUGUAUUAAUUCCAUUUUAAUCAUAUUAUUUAAUUGGAAAUUCCAAGGUAUUUGUGUUCUUGUAUAGUUCCAUAAUGAGUAUAUUUAGUUUCAAACCGAAAUUGAUCAUUUUGAGUGCUACUUUAUAAAGUAGUGUUUUUAAAUGUAUAAUAUGACUGACUAGGGUUUUUCAAAAAGUUAAUCUGACAAUCUACAGUACCUAGUUGAUUUCUUCAUGGUGGCAAAUUUUAUAAAAAGCAGUGAAAGUUAUUCUAUUGGAGAAAUGCGAGGAGGCAAAUAAGUAGGUACCUAUUAUAAGUAUUAUUAAUAAACACGUUUAAAUUGUUUAUAACAAUAGUUUUAAGUUACUCUGACUUUUAUUACUAAAAGGUUUUGUUUAUUUUUAAGUUAUUUUUAUUUUCUUUCUUCUUUGUUAUGAAUUUAAAAUAUUUAUAAAUUAUAGGUUUUAGUUUUGUUUAUUACAAAAUAUUACGACCAGAAGUACAUAUAUUUAUACAGAAGACAACCAAAUAACCAAUGUUACAAUGUACAAUGCAAAAGUACAGUUACAAAUAAUGUUUCUAUUUGAAAAAAAAAAGUGUUGAUUUUGCGUACCAGAUACACACUUUAAAAAUAAUUAAAAAUUUACAUAUAUUUGGAUAGAAUAUGACGCAGGUCUUACUGACAGUUUGAUUAGUAUAGCACAAGACUUUUGGAGUGUAAAUAUUUCCCGCAUCUAUUUGGAUCUGAUAAUUAUUAAAAAUAAAUGGAAUAAAAAUUUGAUAAAAUUAAGUUUCAUCCAUAAAAUAUUUUUUAUUUCUUUACGUGAGAAUGAAAUUCAUAUUUUAAACUAAAUAUAUAUUUAUAUAUUAUAAUAAAACAUUCUUUCUUUUUCUUUUAAUAAGUAAUUUUUUAGUAGUAUCUAUGUACUUAAAUUUUUUAAGAAAUAUGAUAUUAAUGUAGGCAUUUAAUUUUGUUCAAACUUUAUAAUAUAAUUUGGCAUUUGAGAUACAUAUGUUGUAAAAUAAAAAUGUAUUUCCCUAAACUAAAAAUAAUAUUAUGAAUGCAUGAAAAUCUUUACAAGAUAUUAUCUGCAGAGUGCACGUCUGGCACUAGGCAGUAGCCAAACGAGAACAGUGGUAAAUAUCAUGGUUGGUGACGUCAGACCCAAGCGCGCGCUUUUAAAGUUGUUUGAAACGGUAAUUUCGAGCGCGGAAUUAUAAUCAGUUGUUGUACGUACACUAUUAAUUGUUAAGACGUAAUAUUUUGAAUUUAUCACUUUUAAACAUAAAUUAACAAUUUUAUGCAAAAAUAUUUUUAUGUGCAAGUUCCCUAUUAUCAACAAUGAGCGCUAAGCGUGUAUUGAGGCGGCCGUCAAUGUGAGUGCAAGUGAGAUGCACCAUUGGACGGCCAGAAUGGUGCAUCUCUUUCGCACUCAACAUUGACGGCCGCCUAAUACGCUCUUAGCGCUCAUUGUUAAUAAUUAAAAAUAACAGCUUAGCAAUAAAAUAAUGACAAAAAUUGCUUCAGGAUCUGGUAGAGGGGACUUUAAACUUUGGUCACUUUCUGACUUUCAUAAUAAUUAUUUUUAACCCAGUUAUUAAGCCUUGAAAAUGGCCAUUUUUGCAUUUUUCAAAUUUUAAAUCGCGUAUAACUCGACAACAAUCAAUUUUAGAGAAAAAUUACAAGAGACCUUUUUUGCUCAGAAUGGCCGAAGUGAUCUAAAAAAAUUUGCUCGAAAUCAUACAAAUUUUCACUUCAAUAUUUUUGUGAAUUUGUUUAAAAAACAUUGUUUCAACGAUUUUUCGACCACGGUACCGCCUGGCACCCUGUGGAUUUGUUAUAAGGAUCUCUUUUUGAGUAAGUUUGUGCAAAAAAAUCGAAUCGGAAUAAUUUACCUAACGGGGGCGACGUUACAGUCUGGACUAUCUUGUAAUUGGGUUUUUUUGAAUGCUUAAAUUGUUUCGAUAUAAAUACGUAUUUACCAAUUCAAAAUAUUCAAUACUUGUUUUGCUGAUUCUUUAGCUAUAAUAAUAUGGCUCAAAUUAAAACUUUGUUUCUUGUUUUUGCUUUAGCUUUUAUAUUCUUUUCAGCUGUUGCUAAUGCUCAGUUAACUGACUGUUAUCCAGGUUAUUGCGCCCGAUGGGCUCGUAUCGUUUGCCCUGGUAUCGUUUUGACAUGUCAAAAUGUUGUGUCUUCCGGCCCUUGCGGUUGUUGCAAUUCAUGUGCAUAGUGUUACAUGUUGAUAUAAUGAUAUAAUGUGCAGAUACAGACCAAGUGGCAGAUAUAAUGUGUAGAUGAUAUCAAAUUUUUUUACGUAUAAAAUUUUAUGUGUGUACUAUAGAUAUUUUUAUUUUACAAAACGAAAUAAAUACCGAAUUAAAUGAUUAA
rnacentral:lncRNA from 1 species